UUAACAGAUCUUGUUGAGGAUGUGGAGACCAGGAAGCCUGCACACCGGUCUGGUGAUGGGUAUGCAAACAGCAUGGAAGUUCCUUGAAAACUAAACGUGCUUAAAAGUUUUUGUCUUGAAGUAAUGUUGUCACUGCAGUGCCACCCACAAAGGCAAGGAAGUCCUGCCACUUGCAACAGCAUGGGUGGACCUGGAGGACAUCAGGCUGAAGGAGAUAAGCCAGGCACAGAAAGACAUCAACAUACUGCACAACCUCUCUGAUGUGCGGAAUCCAACAUGGUGGACAUCCUAGAAUCACACAGAAGCACAGAGUGGACCAGCAGUUACCAGAGGAUGGGGAGAUGCUGACCAAAAAAUGCAAGCUUUCCCUUAUGGAGGGCCCUCAGAGCUGGCCACCAGACCUGGGCCUGUUUGGCUCCUUGCCUUGUUGGGCACGCUGGUUGAAGUGGAGUGACAGACUCACCAAGCAACGGCAGGGGGCGCCCUGAAACCAAGCUGCUCUGCCAGAUUUGAGACCUGCAUGUAUCCACUGACUUCCAAAGUAUUAAAGUAAUGGAAACCAGGCGCUGGUGGCAGAGGUGGAGGUGCCCGUGGAUCACACCUGUCUACUCAGGAGGCUGAUAUCUGAGGAUC